rnacentral:lncRNA from 1 species
AUCCUGGCCUGGCCUGUGUCACCGGAGGGGGUUGUGUGCGUUUGUGUCUUUGUGCGGAUCAACGCUCUCGGGCCUGAGGCCGUGCCCUGGGUGGAUCCGAGUGAUGGCCCAGGAGGUGGUCUGGGCACCGAAGAAUCGCGCUGGCCCUGACCGCAUGCCCCAGCCUUCCUGGGGUUUGUGAGGAGCUCUGAAGAACAGCAAAACACAGUAGUCCCAAAAAAGAGAGUAAGAGAGAGCAGCCCAUCUAAUAGAGUGUCCCGGAGGCCAGCGCCAGCGGGUGCUGUAAGGAGCCCGGCGGCGGCAGGUGGGAAUUGAUUGAGCUGGCUGCACUUGUGUACCAGGAUGCAGAGUUCUCCAGCUCAGAGAGGCCAGAAUCUGACUGCAGCUCUUGGCGGCGACUCGAACAUUCUUUAUGCUUCCGUAGGCCCCAGCUGGGUUGGAGGAGUAAAAGGAAUGGGACAAUCCAGGAAGACUUCUCACGUACAAUAGCGCCCCCCACCUCGCGACCCUUCGGUGGCCGUGGCCUGAAGCUCCCGUAGGCUCAGGGCACGACCCUUCAGUUUCUCCGCUCCAGGCGACGUUCUCAGCCUUUUCUUAGCCUGAGACCACCGCGAGAACACCAGGCCUUGCUCACCCCCGAGGAGGCUCUACAUUGUUAAGAAAACCAGAUAGCUGCUCUGGGCUGCCUAGGCCGCCCUAGAAAUAACCCUCCGCUUGCUUUCAACCCGCGAAAUUGGCCCCACAGCUCCGGAGGCCCGCUACGGGGUGGGGGCGGGGGGCGCGGUUAGUGGGAGGUAUCUCCAGACCGCUGAUGAAUACCAUCCCCACCGUCUCAAGGCCUGACUCACCGAGUUAAAGCAU